GGUUGGGGAGAUCAACGGUUGUUGCUUGUUCUUGUCCUUGUUGCUUGUUCUUGUCUUUGUUCUUGUCCUUGUUGCUUGUUCUUGCCUUUGUUCCCGAAGAUAGUGACCCCCUUCGCUACAGUAAAUGAAAAAAGAGAGCACUCGUGAGACAACAGUGAGCACUCGUGCUCCCCCAGGCUUCAUGUUGUACGGAGCCGUCGUCUUGAGCCGACACUACACGGAUCUUGCUGCGUGCGUGAGGUGAAAGAAUCAUGCCAAAAAAUCAAAGCCGCCUUCUCUUCCCUUUUGUCCUCACCGGAGCGCGCACGGAGGGCGAGUAGGCGGCACCGGCAGCGAGGCAGGACAGGGCGAGUAGUGCAUCAACACCAGGGUAGGGCAGGGCGAGUAGGGCACCGGCACCGGCGCGGGUCCGGACGGAGCAGUGCCGCACAAUGAGGAGGCGGACCACAGCGGCACCGGCGAGGAAGAUCUGGGCCGCACGGCGGGGCAAGGUGAGGGUGAGUAGGGUGAACAUGGCUGAGCCUACAGGAACCACGACUUGACUGCACCUAGAAAUCCAUUAGUGGCUUUGUAGCGACUUGGUUGUUCUCUCAUGCAUGGAUGCAUCGUCAAAUAUGGGAUUCGGCAACCAGGUAAUCUCCUUGUAAAUGUCACAUGUUUACUUGCAACUUUGAAAUUAGACAUGCACUACAAUUCUAUUUUUUGGAUAGCAUUUGCAACUUUGCAA